UACGAAGGACUCAAGCGUUAUCCGGAUUUAUUGGGUUUAAAGGGUGCGUAGGCGGAUUAUUAAGUCAGUGGUGAAAGCCUUCAGCUUAACUGAAGAACUGCCAUUGAUACUGAUGAUCUUGAGUAUGAUUGAGGUGGGCGGAAUGUGUCAUGUAGCGGUGAAAUGCUUAGAUAUGACACAGAACACCGAUUGCGAAGGCAGGUCACUAAGCCAUAACUGACGCUGAUGCACGAAAGCGUGGGGAGCAAACAGG
rnacentral:rRNA from 1 species